rnacentral:tRNA from 1 species
AGUCUGUUGAGAAUCUUCUUUCUCCAAAGAGGUUUUCAAAACCUCUAUUCAAACAAAA